GGUCCGAAUGAAGGCUGGAGUGUGGGAUGGACUCGGCAAGAUGUGAAUAGGGGAAUUGGUUAUUGAGCCCAAUAUUAGGAAAGAAAUAAGGGAGUUGGGAUGAACGGCCGAAUUGGAAUUUGAGAGGAUCUGAUUUACGGUUGCAUUCGAUUUAGGUUCAGAAAUUAUCCCAAAUGAGUUCGAAUCCAAAAUGAGUUCGAAUCGACCUACAUACAUUAGACUCGACCAAAAUAAUUAAAUCAAACUCGAAUUACCUAAUAAUUUAUUAAAAUGCAAUGAUGAAGGAAAACACAUUUUUUUAUGUUUACAUUUAAAAUAUGUGCAUAAAAAUAAUAAUAAGUGCCAUGUAAAAUUA
rnacentral:lncRNA from 1 species